UGGGGAAUAUUGCACAAUGGGGGAAACCCUGAUGCAGCGACGCCGCGUGAGCGAUGAAGGAUUUCGAGUCGUAAAGCUCUGUCCUAUGGGAAGAUAAUGACGGUACCAUAGAAGAAAGCCCCGGCUAAUUACGUGCCAGCAGCCGCGGUAAUACGUAUGGGGCGAGCGUUGUCCGGAAUUAUUGGGCGUAAAGGGUACGUAGGCGGACUAUUAAGUCAGGUGUGAAAGCGUGAGGCUUAACCUCAUUAAGCACUUGAAACUGAUAGACGUGGUUGAAGGAGAGGAAUGUGGAAUUCCUAGGGUAGCGGUGAAAUACGUAGAUAUUAGGAGGAAUACCGGUGGCGAAGGCGACUUUCUGGACUUUUACUGACGCUCCGGUACGAAAGCGUGGGGAGCAAACAGG
rnacentral:rRNA from 1 species